AUGAAAAAUAUAAUAAUUUAUUAUAUUUAAUCUAUUUUGAUAACUUUUUAAAUAUGUGUCACUUUUUUAAUUGUGUGACUAUUUUGGUUCCGAGUUCUAGGGUAUUAUUGUAUCCUCUUUCACAAUCACGCCUCGCCUCUCACUCUCUCUCAGUCACUCUCUCACAUCUCCGAUCUCACUCUCUCGACUCUCAGUCAGUGUCUCGUAUCUCCGAUCUCACUCUCUCAGUCUCUCAGUCACGAAAAAUUGUUGUUGCUGACAAGAUCGAACUUGUGCCGAAGAUCGAACUUCGAAUUGAGCCGAAAAUUUGACGUAAGAGUCAAUUCGCUACUCACAUCUCGAUCGAAAAUUGAAGGUCAAAAAAUUUCAGGAGGUGAAAGCUGAUGUUAUGAACAGCUAACCCACGGCCUGUUGAUGGCAUGGAUCAAAAUGAUGAUAACUGUGGUGUUUCUCUGCUCUCAGUGUUCAGUAUGAUGAGCUAAUGUUAAUUCCAUGUCCAGAGAGCAACAGAUAUAGUACUAUUUACAAUAGUAUUAUUUCUGCGCAUUAAUUGCUUAUCGUAUUGUAUGAGUAACCUGAGCCUUGAAGGUUCAUCAUGACAAAACAUUUUUACAUGGUUCUCCAGCUCCCCUUGAGUGUUUGUAGAUGGUGUUAGAUUGAGAUUGAUGUGCUAGUUACAUGUAUGAUUGUGCCUUACACCAGGCUGGAGCUGCUCUAAGAAUCCUCUAUUUACAGUAGCAACAUAGUUAGAAAACUAUUAUUUCUACCUACUAUGAGAAUUAGAAAUUAUAAAUAGAGUUAAUAGUACAAAACACA